rnacentral:rRNA from 1 species
CCUCGGGAGGCAGCAGUGGGGAAUUUUCCGCAAUGGGCGAAAGCCUGACGGAGCAAUACCGCGNUGAAGGAAGACGGCCUAUGGGUUGUAAACUUCUUUUUUCAGGGAGGAACACAAUGACGUGUACCUGAAGAAUAAGCAUCGGCUAACUCCGUGCCAGCAGCCGCGGUAAGACGGAGGAUGCAAGUGUUAUCCGGAAUCACUGGGCGUAAAGCGUCUGUAGGUGGUUUAAUAAGUCGACUGUUAAAUCUUGAGGCUUAACCUCAAAAUCGCAUUCGAAACUAUUAGACUUGAGUAUAGUAGAGGUAAAGGGAAUUUCCAGUGGAGCGGUGAAAUGCGUAGAUAUUGGAAAGAACACCGAUGGCGAAGGCACUUUACUGGGCUAUUACUGACACUCAGAGACGAAAGCUAGGGUAGCAAAUGGGAUUAGAUACCCCAGUAGUCCUAGCCGUAAACAAUGGAUACUAGAUGUUGGACAGAUCGACCUGUGCAGUAUCAAAGCUAACGCGUUAAGUAUCCCGCCUGGGAAGUAUGCUCGCAAGAGUGAAACUCAAAGGAA